UACGUAGGGUGCGAGCGUUGUCCGGAAUUACUGGGCGUAAAGAGCUCGUAGGUGGUUUGUCGCGUUGUUCGUGAAAACUCACAGCUCAACUGUGGGCGUGCGGGCGAUACGGGCAGACUGGAGUACUGCAGGGGAGACUGGAAUUCCUGGUGUAGCGGUGGAAUGCGCAGAUAUCAGGAGGAACACCGGUGGCGAAGGCGGGUCUCUGGGCCGAUACUGACACUGAGGAGCGAAAGCGUGGGGAGCGAACAGG
rnacentral:rRNA from 1 species